rnacentral:rRNA from 1 species
AUUGAACGCUGGCGGCAUGCUUUACACAUGCAAGUCGAACGGUAACAGGCCGCAAGGUGCUGACGAGUGGCGAACGGGUGAGUAAUGCAUCGGAACGUGCCCAGUCGUGGGGGAUAACGCAGCGAAAGCUGUGCUAAUACCGCAUACGAUCUAUGGAUGAAAGCGGGGGACCGUAAGGCCUCGCGCGAUUGGAGCGGCCGAUGUCAGAUUAGGUAGUUGGUGGGGUAAAGGCCUACCAAGCCGACGAUCUGUAGCUGGUCUGAGAGGACGACCAGCCACACUGGGACUGAGACACGGCCCAGACUCCUACGGGAGGCAGCAGUGGGGAAUUUUGGACAAUGGGCGCAAGCCUGAUCCAGCAAUGCCGCGUGCAGGAAGGAGGCCUUCGGGUUGUAAACUGCUUUUGUACGGAACGAAACGGUCUGGGUUAAUACCCUGGGCUAAUGACGGUACCGUAAGAAUAAGCACCGGCUAACUGCGUGCCAGCCGCCGCAGUAAGAC